GAUGCCAGCUAGCGAUCCGCCAAAGUUCCUCCGAUGACUUGGUGGGCAGCUUCCGGGAAACCAAAGCAUUUGGGUUCCGGGGGAAGUAUGGUUGCAAAGCUGAAACUUAAAGGAAUUGACGGAAGGGCACCACCAGGAGUGGAGCCUGCGGCUUAAUUUGACUCAACACGGGAAACCUCACCAGGCCCGGACACCGGAAGGAUUGACAGAUUGAGAGCUCUUUCUUGAUUCGGUGGGUGUUGGUGCAUGGCCGUUCUUAGUUGGUGGAGCGAUUUGUCUGGUUAAUUCCGAUAACGAACGAGACUCUAGCCUACUAAAUAGACGUACUUUAUUACCGGCAUCUCAAGGCCCAUCGGCUGUAUUGUUACUGAAUGUUAUUUGUAUAUUUUGUUGAUAUAUAUUUAUUAUAUGUAUGAUUGAUAAUAUGUGUGUAUUAU
rnacentral:rRNA from 1 species